rnacentral:rRNA from 1 species
GACGAACGCUGGCGGCGUGCUUAACACAUGCAAGUCGAACGAAAAGGCCCUGCUUUUGUGGCGUGCUCGUGUGGCAAACGGGUGAGUAACACGCGAGUAACCUCCCCUUGUCUUUGGGAUAACUUCACGAAACUGCGGCUCAUACCGGAUAUGAGCUCCUGCUGCACGGUGGUGGUUGGAAAGUUCCGGCUGUUGGGGAUGGACUCGCUGCUUAUCAGCUUGAUGGUGGGGUAGUGGCUUACCAAGGCUUUGACGGGUACCCGGCCUGAGAGCGCGACCGGGGUCAUUGGGACUGAGAGACGGACCAGAAUGCUACGGGAGGCAGCAGGGGAGAAUAUUGCACAAUGGGCGGAAGCCUGAUGCAGCAACGCCGCGUGCGGGAUGACGGCCUUCGGGUUGUAAACCGCUGUCGCCUGUGACAAAGCGGGAGUGACGGUAAUGGGUAAAGAAGCACCGGCUAACUACGUG